rnacentral:rRNA from 1 species
UAGAUACCCUGGUAGUCCUGGCCGUAAACGAUGGAUACUAGGUGUAGGGGGUAUCGACCCCUCCUGUGCCGGAGUUAACGCAAUAAGUAUCCCGCCUGGGGAGUACGGUCGCAAGACUGAAACUCAAAGGAAUUGACGGGGGCCCGCACAAGCGGUGGAGUAUGUGGUUUAAUUCGACGCAACGCGAAGAACCUUACCAGGGCUUGACAUUGAGUGAAAGGCGUAGAGAUACGUCCCUUAUCUUCGGAUA